CAAUAGCUACUUGCAUCAUUGAAAAUAUGAUGCAAGAUCGACUAUGUCGAAUAAAAUUCUAGGUAGAAUUAUGAUAAUGACAUUGUCUGCCUAUGUGUCUUGACCAAAUUACGUGCCAGCAGUCGCGGUAAUACGUAGAAGACUAGUGUUAUUCAUGUUUAAUCGGUUUAAAGGGUACCUAGACGGUAAAUCAAGCCUAAAAGGAAGGAAAUAAAGGGACUAAUUUACUAGAGUUACUUAUGAGGGGGUAUUAAAGUACUGCUGGUGUAGAGAUGAAAUUCUGUCAUACCUCUUUUCAAUAGAAAAAUAAUGGCACAGGUAUAGGCGAAAGCAUCCCCUUAUGUGAUAACUGACGUUGAGGGACGAAGGCUUUGUGUAGCGAACAGGAUUAGAUACCCCAGUAGUCAAAGCAGAAAAUGAUGAAUGUCAUAGAUUAGAUAUAUAAGUUUAUUCUAUAAAUGAAAGUGUAAGCAUUCCACCUCAAGAGUAAUUUGGCAACAUUGGAACUGAAAUCAUUAGACCGUUUCUGAAACCAGUAGUGAAGUAUGUUGUUUAAUUUGAUAAUCCGCAAAAAACCUUACCACAAUUUGAAUAUUUAUAUUUUUUUUAUUGUUUUUCUUUUUAAUUUUCUUCCGAUUUUCUAGUUAAAGGAAAAUUAGAAGAAAAAGAAAAAAGAGGCAAUAAGA
rnacentral:rRNA from 1 species